ACUACGGGUGGCUGCAGUGGGGAAUAUUGGGCAAUGGGCGCAAGCCUGACCCAGCAACGCCGCGUGAAGGAAGAAGGCUCUCGGGUUGUAAACUUCUUUUCUCAGGGACGAAGCAAGUGACGGUACCUGAGGAAUAAGCCACGGCUAACUACGUGCCAGCAGCCGCGGUAAUACGUAGGUGGCAAGCGUUAUCCGGAUUUAUUGGGUGUAAAGGGCGUGUAGGCGGGAGCGCAAGUCAGAUGUGAAAACUCAGGGCUCAACCCUGAGCCUGCAUUUGAAACUGUGUUGCUUGAGUGCUGGAGAGGCAAUCGGAAUUCGGUGUGUAGCGGUGAAAUGCGUAGAUAUACGGAGGAACACCAGUGGCGAAGGCGGAUUGCUGGACAGUAACUGACGCUGAGGCGCGAAAGCGUGGGGAGCAAACAGGAUUAGAUACCCGAGUAGUC
rnacentral:rRNA from 1 species